rnacentral:lncRNA from 1 species
CAGCCCUGCGUGAUUGACGAUUAAUCAACUUUUCAGUCCACGAUAACGAAAACGUAUCAGCUUGCGGCAGACAGAUUAAAAGGCGGAGCGGAUCCUCCGGUAUAAGAGUGCAAUCCCGCCGGUCUUGUCACAAAGCCGGUGGACACAACGCUGGACGAUCUGUGCAUAGCUGGCGAGGGUGGCGCGGACGGCAGCAUCCUGGGUGUUUGCGGAGGCGUCCUGCCGGAUGACAUGCUUCCGAUACUACUGGUGGAUGACUUCCUUCUCAGAGUCCUGCAAAUAUAACGGACACGAACUGACUCUGCUUAAAAAAUCCAAUAGACUUAGAUUUAAAAGAACUUAUAUAAUCCUUUACCUACGUGUUUUGAAUUUAUAAAUAUCAGAUUUAAACCAUUUUGAUGUUAUUUAUUUAUUAAAUUAUAAUUUAAUAAUUAUCUUUAAUCAAUAAUAAUAAUUUUUUAUUUAAUAUAUCGAAAUUUAUAUUAUUUUAUGUUUCCAGUUUAUGUAUGAUGUAUUAUCUAAUGAAAAUCUUACUUAAGCCUCUUAAAUCGGCACUCCCUUAUUUCUCGGAAAUUAAACUUUGUAUUAUAUAGUACUAACACAUAAUCUGUUUAGAUAAUGAAAAUGUAUAAUUUAUACAUUUAAUAUAUGUGUAAAGCAAAUCGCAUUUUUUUCAGAUUAGAUAAGUAUAAAAAAAUAUACAUGUUUAAAUUAAUAUUUCACAUUGUUUAAGUAAGAUACUGUUAAGAAACUAGAAAUAAUUAAUAACUUCUCUAUCUAUAGUAGAUGAAUGCGAUUGAAACGAUAUUAUACUACAUAACUUUAAUAUAAAAUUUCAGUGAAAAUAAAUCUGUCAAUUCCUACUAUUUUGCAUCGAAAUUUUUUAAGAGAGAAGUUUAAAGAACACGAGCUUAUCGAUUACAUAAAGAUCAAUAACAUGGAUUAUAAGGACCCGACUACCUGGCAGUACGUUAACCCACUUUGCCAGUAGUACGGCCGGCUGCAUUUAAAUAGUGUUCGAUGCAUCUACACGGAGAAAAUUUUAUAGUAAAAAUUACCAUGUACGAUCUCAGAUAGCAUUCAAUGAACGCUCGAUUUUAGUUUUUGUUUUAUUCAAAUGUUCAUGGACAAAUGUUUUAAAAAUGCAUUAUUGGACGUUCAAAAUAUAUUCCUAUUUGGACGUUUUAAAGAAUUUGGAUAUUUUAAACACGUACGGAACGUUUACUGCAUACAUUUUUAAUACGUUUUUAAAACGUGUGCUGUCUGGAGUAGUAUCUACAGACUAUAAGAAUAAAUUUCAGAGAAUUAUAUAAUAUAAGUAGUGUAAACACUAUAAUUUGAUAAAAAAGCAUAGUACAAAUUUUCAUAAUUACUUUUUUGUUUCGCGCUUGCUGUUUACCACAGUAAUUUUUACUAAAAAAUUUUCCCCGUGUAGAUUUUUAGCCGACAGUCAACGAUCAAAUUUCCCCGUGCAAUAUUUAAGAGGUGCGAUUGAUUGCGCGAGAAGAGAAAAUUCCGUUUACUGUCACGCCGGGUCGCGACAUUCUCUGGCAGAAAAAUAGCACGGCCGCAUAGGAAUAGACGUGUUUUGCACGCGCGCAUUCGGAUACGACAGCAGCACGAUAGGCAUGCAUUUAUGUAAAUUCUAGCCCGGCAUAUUGGCAUAUAGAUGUUGACGCGACGUAUUUUUCUACGUCAAAACGGAAAACACACUUUGCGAUGUACCGUGCGCUCUGAUUUCACUGAAUUCGAGCCAAGACGAGACAGCUCGGAUGCACGAGGGAUGCUCGCUCGCUGUUUAUUUUCGGCGUAAAGCCAUCGAGAGACGCGAUCGAAUGUCGAUGUAAUUGCGACGAAUCCGAGAAACCUCCAGCAUUGCCGGGGUUUGAACGUACAACAUUAACUUGGUCGAUCGCCAAGAAGGAGGUUGGAACUUUAUCGACAUUGCUGAAAGUUACAUUAAUUGUAACAACUCACAGACUUUUUACGGCGACCUCGUGAUUCAAUAACACGUCGUCAGUUGUAGCAAGUACGCAUUUUAAUCUAUUGAAGUUACACGAUCGAAAUAUAAGUAGCUUUACAAGGAAAGAUCUCCAAUUUAGCAAUCUAAAACUUAUAGACAAUACACGGAGAAUAUCUCGUUUUAUAAGACAUAAUUUUUUUGCUAUUUUGUUCGAAUUUACACUGAAGGAACAAAAUCAACCCCCCUGGAAAAUUGAUCUACCUUUUAUUUUUAUUUUGUUAUUUACCAACAAACAAAGGAUAAUUUUAUCCCUUUAGGGUGAAUUCGAGCAGCGCAAAAAUAGUUUAUCACAUAUCGAAAUAUUCCCGUAAAAAAACCGAUUGAAAACGAUAGGAAAUGUUCAAUCAUUUUAAAGCGAGAGUUGACAGUGUGAAUAUCAAAGUGAUGACGAUAUAGUUUUAAUCAUUGGUGAUAAAUUUUAUUAAAGAAUAAAAAAUAGUACAAGAAUUCUAUCAUAUUCCAAUUAUUUAGUCGGCUUGUAUCAGGGAAUGGUAACAUUUCUUUCUAAAAGUAAAACAGUAAGAAACGAUAAAAUUUUUUUAUGUGGCGGUUACUAUUUUUGUUGUUUUUCUAUUAAUUUUUUUAACAGAGAUUCUCUUUGUGAGUAUAUUGCCAAAAUUUCAUAAUUUUUUAAAUUUCCGAGUCAAAGACCUUUUCUUGUCAAAGACACAUAAAAAGAGACUUUAUUAUUAAAAAAUAAAAUUUCGUGAAAAAUUUAAAAACUUUUUAAUAGAAAAGCCACGUUAAAAUUGUUUAAAUUUUAAAAUUGUUUAUUUAUAUUAAAAACCAUUCUUUUAAUGUAACGAAUAUUAAAUGUCAUGAUUUAUUUUUAUCUAUUUUUUUUACACUUGAAUUAUAAUCAUUGAACAGUCAGUAAUUUAAUAUUUGAAAAUUAAAUAUUGAAAAGUUUAAAGGAUUAUGUUCACUACAUUAUAUAAAAAUCAUUUUAUUCGCGAAAUAUUUAGCACGAAAAAUGAUACAUUGACCGUUAAUAGACUAACACUCCAGCGUGAUAAGAAGCCAUAAAUUAGUGAUUGUAAUACCGAAACGAAACAAUAAUUUUUCAUCAUCCGUCUGUGUGAUUUAAUCUUCGAUCGCGGUGAUAUAAGCCCAUUGUUUGCUUGGCGUACGCGUACAUGUAAAGAGAUUUUGCACAAUACAAAAAUGAAUACAAUAAAUACGUAGAAAUACACAUUCAAUUUAUUGCGAUUAUAAUCGGAGAUUGUAAAACUCUCUAAUUAGCCUAAUCUAAUGAUAAUUCAUAUAAAACAUAAUUUAUUUAGGAGAGCGAAGUAACAGUAUUACAAUCACUGGCGUGAGCAUGAAUGCAAUCUAUAUCUGUCGGGACACUCGAUAUCGUCCGAACUUGUGGAUAUUCGCACACCGGGGAAACACCGCCUAUUUUGCUACGGUUAUCAAUUUGCCAUUCAGAUUCAAAUGCAAUUGCAUGCUAAAGCGUAACGCGCGGAUGUUG